GGCAACGCCACCCUCCCCUGUCCUCCAGUUCUGUACGUACCACACGGGAUCUGAGCCGCCAACCGCCUGAUCGGCGCCACACGGUGGCUAGAGCCCAGAGUGUCGUCGCCUGAUCGGCGAUAUUGAUUGCAGGUACGCGUGGCCGCGGCUGACGCGGCGCGACGCGCGCGACGAAUCCAUCACUGAUCCCUUGCCCCCUUUUGGUUCUGAACUUUCUGAUCUCUGCACACUGACGGGUUAGCAAGAUUGCAGGCCGGAUUCAGGGGCAGGAAUCGAUUCAGUUCGAAGCCACAACCCGAAUUCAGCUAGUGAAGGUAGCAGGAGGUCGAUUUUGUUCUCAUAUUGUCCAGCAGGCUACAGUACAGAAGUACAAGACAAAUUUUCAGGUGUAAAACAUGAAGAGGAAAAAUACUGGUACUACUGAUUUGAGAACUUUCUUGGAGAGUUGUUGCAAAAAAAGGGAGGUCUCUUCGGUAUGAGAUUGUUUACAAAUUUCUCAAAAUGGUGCUAGUUGCAUUAGCUGGUGUUGAGAGGGUCUUCUCAUCAAUGAUCUAUAUAAAAAACAAGCUAAGAAGCAAGAUGGGGCAAAAAUACUUGAAUGAUUGCUUGGUCACAUUCAUUGAAAGGAGACUUUUCUUGCAAGUUCAGGACGAGGACAUCAUCACUCAUUUUCAAAGCAUCAAGGGUCCGCAAAGUUAUCCUCUACUUUGUAAGGUUUCUUAUGAUUUCAUAUUUCUAUCCUCUAUAUAUCUUAGAUUUUGCCAUGAUAUGUUGAACAAUUCUUACUUUUAUAUGUUGAA